rnacentral:rRNA from 1 species
UACGAAGGGGGCUAGCGUUGCUCGGAAUCACUGGGCGUAAAGCGCACGUAGGCGGCUUUCUAAGUCAGGGGUGAAAUCCUGGAGCUCAACUCCAGAACUGCCUUUGAUACUGGAGAGCUCGAGUCCGGAAGAGGUGAGUGGAACUCCGAGUGUAGAGGUGAAAUUCGUAGAUAUUCGCAAGAACACCAGUGGCGAAGGCGGCUCACUGGCCCGGUACUGACGCUGAGGCACGAAAGCGUGGGGAGCAAACAGG